CCUACGGGUGGCUGCAGUGAGGAAUAUUGGUCAAUGGGCGCGAGCCUGAACCAGCCAAGUCGCGUGAGGGAAGACGGUCUUAUGGAUUGUAAACCUCUUUUGUCGGGGAGCAAAAGACGCCACGCGUGGCGUUCCGAGAGUACCCGAAGAAAAAGCAUCGGCUAACUCCGUGCCAGCAGCCGCGGUAAUACGGAAGGUCCGGGCGUUAUCCGGAUUUAUUGGGUUUAAAGGGAGCGUAGGCCGGCUUUUAAGUCAGCUGUGAAAGUCCGCGGCUCAACCGUGGAAUUGCAGUUGAAACUGGAGGCCUUGAGUGCACACAGGGAUGCCGGAAUUCAUGGUGUAGCGGUGAAAUGCUUAGAUAUCAUGAAGAACUCCGAUCGCGAAGGCAAGUGUCCGGGGUGCAACUGACGCCGAGGCUCGAAAGUGCGGGUAUCAAACAGGAUUAGAUACCCGGGUAGUC
rnacentral:rRNA from 1 species